AAGUAGACGCCGGAUGAACGGGUAUCAUUGAUGUUGAUAAUCAUAGAACGAGAGUUCUUCUACUUU
rnacentral:tRNA from 1 species